AAGAAUCAUGUUUCCUGUUGCACUUUUUCCAGCUCCAGUUUUACCAACAAGAAGGAUUCUUAGAUCAGAUUGUGCUGGGAACAAGAGAGAGAGAACGUCAUCCAGUCAGUACAGCUUACUUCAAUCAUG